rnacentral:rRNA from 1 species
GACGAACGCUGGCGGCGUGCUUAACACAUGCAAGUCGAACGGUAAGGCCCUUCGGGGUACACGAGUGGCGAACGGGUGAGUAACACGUGGGUGAUCUGCCCUGCACUUCGGGAUAAGCCUGGGAAACUGGGUCUAAUACCGGAUAGGACCACUGCCUGCAUGGGUGGUGGUGGAAGUCUUUUGUGGUGUGGGAUGGGCCCGCGGCCUAUCAGCUUGUUGGGGGGGUGAUGGCCUACCAAGGGGACGACGGGUAGCCGGCCUGAGAGGGUGACCGGCCACACUGGGACUGAGAUACGGCCCAGACUCCUACGGGAGGCAGCAGUGGGGAAUAUUGCACAAUGGGCGCAAGCCUGAUGCAGCGACGCCGCGUGAGGGAUGACGGCCUUCGGGUUGUAAACCUCUUUCAGCACCGACGAAGCGCAAGUGACGGUAGGUGCAGAAGAAGGACCGGCCAACUACGUGCCAGCCGCCGCCGUAA